rnacentral:rRNA from 1 species
GUUAGGAAUAUUGGACAAUGGGCGCAAGCCUGAUCCAGCCAUGCCGCGUGAGUGAUGAAGGCCUUCGGGUUGUAAAGCUCUUUAGUCCACGAAUAUAAUGACUGUAGUGGAAGAAUAAGCCCCGGCUAACUUCGUGCCAGCAGCCGCGGUAAUACGAAGGGGGCGAGCGUUAUUCGGAAUCACUGGGCGUAAAGCGUGCGUAGGCUGUUUUGUAAGUCAGAAGUGAAAGCCCAGGGCUUAACCCUGUAAUUGCUUUUGAAACUACAAGACUCGAAUUCGGGAGAGGAUAGCGGAAUUGUCAGUGUAGCAGUGAAAUGCGUAGAUAUUGACAGGAACACCAGUGGCGCAAGCGGCUAUCUGGACCGAUAUUGACGCUGAGGCACGAAAGCGUGGGGAGCAAACAGGAUUAGAAACCCGGGUAGUCC